GAUGAACGCUAGCGGCAGGCCUAACACAUGCAAGUCGAGGGGUAGCAGGAUUAAGCUUGCUUAAUUGCUGACGACCGGCGCACGGGUGCGUAACGCGUAUGCAACCUACCCUAUACUGGGGUAUAGCCCGAAGAAAUUCGGAUUAAUCCCCCAUAGCAUCCCGAAGCGGCAUCGCUUUCGGGAUUAAAGGUUACGGUAUAGGAUGGGCAUGCGUCCCAUUAGCUAGAUGGUGAGGUAACGGCUCACCAUGGCGACGAUGGGUAGGGGGCCUGAGAGGGUGGUCCCCCACACUGGUACUGAGACACGGACCAGACUCCUACGGGAGGCAGCAGUGAGGAAUAUUGGUCAAUGGGCGAGAGCCUGAACCAGCCAUGCCGCGUGCAGGAAGACGGUCCUAUGGAUUGUAAACUGCUUUUAUUUGGGAAUAAACUCUGGUACGUGUACCAGCCUGAAGGUACCAAAUGAAUAAGCACCGGCUAACUCCGUG
rnacentral:rRNA from 1 species